AUUGAACGCUGGCGGCAUGCCUUACACAUGCAAGUCGAACGGUAGCGGGCCUUCGGGUGCCGACGAGUGGCGAACGGGUGAGUAAUGUAUCGGAACGUACCUUUCAGUGGGGGAUAACGUAGCGAAAGUUACGCUAAUACCGCAUAUUCUGUGAGCAGGAAAGCAGGGGAUCGCAAGACCUUGCGCUGAUUGAGCGGCCGAUAUCAGAUUAGCUAGUUGGUGAGGUAAAGGCUCACCAAGGCGACGAUCUGUAGCCGGUCUGAGAGGAUGAUCCGCCACACUGGAACUGAGACACGGUCCAGACUCCUACGGGAGGAAGCAGUGGGGAAUUUUGGACAAUGGGGGCAACCCUGAUCCAGCCAUGCCGCGUGAGUGAAGAAGGCCUUCGGGUUGUAAAGCUCUUUCGGCCGGGAAGAAAUCGUAUCAGCUAAUACCUGGUGCGGAUGACGGUACCGGCAUAAGAAGCACCGGCUAACUACGUGCCAGCCGCCGCAGUAACAC
rnacentral:rRNA from 1 species